GAUGAAGAACGUAGCGAAAUGCGAUAAGUAAUGUGAAUUGCAGAAUUCAGUGAAUCAUCGAAUCUUUGAACGCACCUUGCGCCCUUUGGCCAUUCCGAAGGGCAUGCCUGUUUGAGUAUCAUGAACACCUCAACUCUUCAUGGUUUUCCAUGAUGAGCUUGGACUUUGGGGGUCUUGCUGGCCUGUGGGUCGGCUCCUCUCAAAUGAAUCAGCUUGCCAGUUUUUGGUGGGCAUCACAGGUGUGAUAACUAUCUACGCUUGUGGUUUUCCACCAGGGUAACCUUCAGCAGUGGAGGUUCACUGGAGCUUACAAGUGUCUCUCCUCUGUGAGGACAGCCCUUUGAAUGUUUGAUCUCAAAUCAGGUAGGACUACCCGCUGAACUUAAGCAUAUCAAUAAGCGGAGGA
rnacentral:misc_RNA from 1 species